rnacentral:lncRNA from 1 species
UCAUUAGAGUGGUAUUCACACCACCAAAUUUACAUUAAAUUUGCCUAACCAUUGGAGAGUCUCACAACUGAGUUCCAGGUGCUGCAAGGGGAAACGUCGAAAGAUUUUUUCUUCUUUUUGCAUUAGUUUUUUCUCUCUCUCUCUCUUUCCUAUUUUAAUCAAAAUGAGGGUAUAAAUUUCUUUUUAAUAAAACGGUGACUAAGACUCAAUUGGACGGGUUCAUUUGGAUCCAAACGCUCCAUCAUAGAAAGUUAAGGGCUUAGGGCGUCACAAAUACGAGAUUUAGGACUCCAUUGUCACAGCAAUCAAAAGUUUGGGACCCUCACUGGAUUUCAUAUCUUUUAACCAAAGGUCAGUCGUGUAUUCUCUAAUGCUGUCCAAAAGCCAGUGACUAGUGGCCAAUGAAGAUGAAGAGAAGAUGCAUUUACCUGCAUUGGACUAACCCUGCAAAUUUUUACCCAUAAUGCAAUGGACUUAAAUUCAAAUAUCAGAUGAUAAACCAUACAGAUUCCUAGAAAUUCAUAGCAUAUGAUAUUAUCUCAAACCCAAAUUUAAGGCAUGUGAAAAUAUUGCAUUAGAACUCACCAUCACGGAAUACAGAAACUCCAAUCAAGAUUCAUUUUUGGCAAGUCACUUUUCAUUUCAAUAGCCAAGGGAGAAACUCCACACACAAGCUAUAUGCCAAAAAGCUCAUAUUCCAAAU